rnacentral:tRNA from 1 species
GGCCCCAUCGUCUAGCGGUCAGGACAUCGGCCUCUCACGCCGGUAACGCGAGUUCGAUUCUCGCUGGGGUCA